UACAGAGGGUGCAAGCGUUGUUCGGAAUUAUUGGGCGUAAAGCGCGUGUAGGCGGCUUUGCAAGUCGGAUGUGAAAGCCCUCGGCUCAACUGAGGAAGUGCACCCGAAACUGGCGAGCUUGAGUACGAAAGAGGGAUCGCGGAAUUCCCGGUGUAGAGGUGAAAUUCGUAGAUAUCGGGAGGAACACCGGUGGCGAAGGCGGCGAUCUGGGUCGAUACUGACGCUGAGGUGCGAAAGCGUGGGGAGCAAACAGG
rnacentral:rRNA from 1 species